AACAGGCAGAAAAUUAAAACUGGAUUGCUACCUGGUGCUUCCAUACACUGAAAAGAAAGAACACUCCAAUCUGCCAGCCUUACGAUGUUGGGAAAACGCAUCAAACAGUGCUAAGGUUUUAAGCAUGGAGAAUAUAAUCCAGUUGUAAAGCUAUUAACCCAGAAAAGAUGUCACAUGAAAGUCUGUAAAUAUGAACCACACUCUACUGCCCAGUGAUGGAGAAACCUACUGACUGUGGUGCGCAGAUUCCUAAGACGCCCUCAUGGUAUCCAUGUCCGCAUCAUCUCCUCCCCCUUGAGAGUGGGCUGAACCUGUGACUGGCCUCUAACCAACAGGCUAUCGUGAAGGUGAGUACUUUAAAAGAGGGCCUGGAGGAGAGAGACCCUUCCUGCUGUCUUUGAAGCAGCAAGCCUCCAUCAGUUCUGCAGCUACAAGAAAAUGAGUUCUGCCAACAACCAAGUGAGCACUGAAGAGGACCCUGAGCAUCAGAGGACAGCCUAGCCCUGGCCAAUGCCUUCAUUGCAGCACUGUGAGACCCGAACAAAAGAUCCAGCUAAUGCAUGUUCAGAAUUCUGAUUCCAGGAAACUGUGGAAUAAUAAAUGCUCCUAUGUUAAGCUGCUAAGUGUGUGGUAAUGUUUUUACUCAGCAAUAGAAAACUACUGCUGGAUGGGCGCGGUGGCUUGUGCCUGUAAUCCCAGCACUUUGGGAGACCGAGGCACAUGGAUCACUUGAG
rnacentral:lncRNA from 10 species